rnacentral:lncRNA from 1 species
UUAUAUUUCUGAAUAUAUGCGAAAAGUCAAAAACAACUUAUAAUAAAAAACGGAGAUGGUAAGUAGUAAAAUCUAAGGAUAUAUGACUCAAAAGGAUGUAGGUGAAAAUAAUAUUUAAUUAGAAAAGGUUUCCAUCUUAUUAUAGAUCAAACAUGGCGUAAAAUAAAGUCAACACUUUUCAUGGAAAUGCCCCCUAGCUCAUUGAUUUUACCAUCAUGUUCUCGAUCUAACUUAAUUCCUUAAUCAUUUAUCAUUUUAUUUUGUUCACCUUCGUCUUGUGCGCCUCCUUCACCAUCCUUUUCUAUUGAGCCUGUUUGACGAGAGCGAACUUCACCUUUUUUUACUCCUUUAGCCUCCUUAGGUAAUUUUGGAUAGCCAUGAAAAAGGGACCAUGGUUUGUUAUAAUGGUACAGAAUUUCACUUUAGAACUCUUUUGCUGCACCAACUGCAAAUUAACACAUCAUACUUAUUAACUAUCAUAAAGGUCAAUAAGUUUAAGCUAUAGUAAAAAUUGUCUUGGACAUUUUGGGAUUAGAAUAACUAUUUUCACUAUAUUAAAUGAAGACAUGAAUUAAAAUUGAAUUUGUAUAUACAUUGUUUCUCAUCUUUGAAUGACUCAAUUGCCACAAUAAAUAUAAUAAACAGUCCACAAGAAAAAAACACAGAGAUUAAAGAUUUGAUUUUCAUUUUUGAUACACUAGGAAUAUAUUAUAGUUAAUAAUCAGCUGAUAUUUAUAGUUAUUAUCAUACAAUAUAUGUAAAAGAUGAAUAAAAAAGCUUU